rnacentral:RNase_P_RNA from 1 species
CGAGUCGGGCGGACGGCCGCCCGGGCGGUUUUGCCGUCCGGGAGGAAAGUCCGGGCUUCACAGGACAGAGCGCCGGUUAACCGCCGGACGCCGCGAGGCGAUGGAAAGUGCCGCAGAAAACAGACCGCCCGUCCCCGCGAGGGGGCGGGUAAGGGUGAAAAGGCGGUGUAAGAGACCACCGCGGGAGGCGGAGACGUUUCCCGGCAAGGCAAACCCCGCUUGAAGCAAGACAAACAGAAGCGCGGCGGCUUGCGCCGCCGGGGGCAGUCCGGCCCCCGCUUCGGGUGGUUGCUACAGGCGUCCGGCAACGGGCGUCGCAGAUGAAUGGCCGUCCCCGACAGAACCCGGCUUACAGCUCGGCUCGCCUC